GCCAGUGUGGCAUAGUGGUUUGAGUGUUAGACUACAACCCUGGAGACAAGGGUUCAAACUGCUACUCAGCCA